rnacentral:rRNA from 1 species
GGCUACUCCGGGUAACCGGUGCUAAUACCGAAUAGCUUAGCGCUCUCUCACUUGGAGCGCUACUGAAAGACGGUUUCGGCUGUCACUGCUGGAUGGGCCCGCGGCGCAUUAGCUAGUUGGUGAGGUAACGGCUCACCAAGGCGACGAUGCGUAGCCGACCUGAGAGGGUGAUCGGCCACACUGGGACUGAGACACGGCCCAGACUCCUACGGGAGGCAGCAGUAGGGAAUCUUCCGCAAUGGACGAAAGUCUGACGGAGCAACGCCGCGUGAGUGAAGAAGGUUUUCGGAUCGUAAAACUCUGUUGUGAGGGAAGAACAAGUACCAGCUAACUACUGGUACCUUGACGGUACCUCACCAGAGAGCCACGGCUAACUACGUGCCAGCAGCCGCGGUAAUACGUAGAUGGCAAGCGUUGUCCCCGAAUUAUUGGGCGUAAAGCGCGCGCAGGCGGUCCUUUAAGUCUGAUGUGAGAGCCCACGGCUCACCGUGGGAGGGGUCAUUGGAAACUGGGGGGACUUUAGUGCGGAAGAAGGAGAGUGGAGUUCCCCGUGU